GCCGCGCGGGCCGUGCGUCUGUCUCCGCGCUGCUGCGGGAAGACGCGGUGGUUCUGAUCCAGGUCUGUGGGUUUGACGAAGGAGUAAACGCUUUCUUCCGGCUUGGUUUUUAACUGUCAGAUCAAGAUGGUGAUCCCAGCCAUGCUUCUGUGUGUUCUCUCUUACUUCUUCUUAUUGGCUGGAGCGUCUUCAAGUUUAGAAAAUGACAUAAAAUGUAGUAGAUAAAGUUUUUUAACGCUAAAAAUUAGGAUACUCCCACAUACCAAAUCUGGGUGCAGCCAUUGGUCCCCAUAAUAAGCAUACAAAAUUAUGUUUAAAGGAAUAGUUCAUCCCAAAAUGAAAACUUGAUGAAAAUGUACUCUCCC
ensembl:lncRNA